rnacentral:misc_RNA from 2 species
AACGCACCUUGCGCCCAGGGGCAUUCCCCUGGGCAUGCCUGUCUGAGUGUCGCGCCCCUCUCGCUCAAGUUUCUUGAUGCGGACCGUGGCGGCGGCCGUCUGGCCCCGCCGAAACACGCUCGGGACCCGGUCCGACGUUGUAGACCCUCGUCGGCCGGCCCCUCGUUCCACUUUCGACCUCAGAUCAAGCAGGACUACCCGCUGAACUUAA